rnacentral:rRNA from 1 species
GAUGAACGCUGGCGGCGUGCCUAAUACAUGUAAGUCGUACGGAAAGGCCCUUCGGGGUACUCGAGUGGCGGACGGCUGAGUAACGCGUGGGAACGUGCCCCAAAGUGAGGGGUAACGCACCGAAAGGUGUGCUAAUACCGCAUAUGGUCUUCGGAUUAAAGCUUCGGCGCUUUGGGAGCGGCCCGCGUACGAUUAGAUAGUUGGUGAGGUAAUGGCUCACCAAGUCGACGAUCGUUAGCUGGUCUGAGAGGAUGAUCAGCCAGACUGGGACUGAGACACGGCCCAGACUCCUACGGGAGGCAGCAGUAAGGAAUUUUCCACAAUGGGGGCAACCCUGAUGGAGCAACGCCGCGUGCAGGAUGAAGGUUUUCGGAUCGUAAACUGCUUUUAUAAGUGAAGAAUAUGACGGUAACUUAUGAAUAAGGAUCGGCUAACUACGUGCCAGCCGCCGCCGUAA